GUUGCAUCAAACGGUAUGACACAACUAGUUGAGUUAUAUCCACAUUGAAAUGAAGAUUUUUAUUCCACUAGUAUUAAUAGCUGUUGCUAUUUGCCAAGUCUUGCAAGCUGUCGCGCCACCGAUAGAAGAUGACAAUGCUGGAACUCAACUGCAAAACACUCAACAAAAGAAAGAAGUUGAUAUAAAUCAGGAUGUAGGGAUAAAGUCGGACAAGACAAGUGCCCAUUUUCUUAGGAUUAAUGAAAGUAACUUAAGGGUUCUUCAUAAAAGAAGUCCAGGAAGAAGUCGGGAGAGAUACGGUCACAGAUAUGGUGCAGGAAGAAGUCGAGAGAGAUACGGUUACAGAUAUGGUGCAGGAAGAAGUCGAGAGAGAUACGGUUAUAGAUAUGGUGCAGGAAGAAGUCGAGGUUCACAUGGUAGAGGUCGCCAUCAUGGUGGACGGUAUAGGACGAAUACCAGAGAUUACUAUCCUAGUGGACGAUCCUAUGGAGGGAGAUCACGUGGUGGACGUUCUCGUUCUAGAGAGAGAUACGAUUGGUCAAGCGAUGCUAAUUACUAUCAUAGAGAUGGGUUAUUAGAAGAUAGUGUCAUCGACAGCAAUGGCGGAAUAAAUCGUACCUGCACGUGCCCUUUUCGACCUCAGCGCAAUGUUGAAAAGAUUAACGAGGCUGAUAGCGAUAGUGAUGAAGACGACGAUGAUAGUGAUGAAGACGAUGAUGAUAGCGAUGAAUAUCAUAGCGCAUGGGAGAGAGUUUUCUCCACGCACCCAUGCUGUCAACAGAACUGAGUCAUUGAAAUGAAAUGAAAUAGGGUUUAACUCCUACUGUUCUGCUCUGACUGGGCUAAUAAAGACAGGCUACGCCAUACAGUGUGUUAUUGGGGACAUAUUGCCCGGACAGCGGCGCUACAGCCUACUCUUAUAUCGAAUUCCAACUGCCAAGGGAUCUUUUACGUGCACGCCAAUGUGUACACGGGACCUCAAUUUUCCAUCCCAUCCGAACGACUAGACAGCUGUCCUUGUCCUGCAUCACUGACAAGGGGGAACCACGCCGGAAAAUCAGGAUGAACUUUCUCGGCCAAUGCAGAGAUUGAACCCGCGAUCUCCAGGCGAGCGAGCCAGCGUCUUACCCACUUAGCCAUCGUGGCUCCCCAUUGAAACAUAAUAAAGAUAAUGUCGACACACUUCAUAGUAUAAAAGUAAUUUUGAAAUUGUAUUUCCUAGUUUUGAAAGUUUAGAUAAUUAAAUUCCUGUAUACCUAGCUGCAUGUUUAGAAACCAUGACAAAUGGAAUUCGAAAUAAGACUAGGCCGUAGUGCCGUUGUCCGGACUAAAUUACCCCCAUAUUACACUGCGCAUGGCGUAUGCCCAUCUUCAUUAUCCCGGUUUGUGCAGACAAGUAGGACGUUAAACCCUAUUUUACUUCAUUCAUUUGUCGGUCCCAGUUUUAUAUAAUUAUUUAUUAAAUAAGAUUGAUUUUUUUCCUUAUUGAGACAAUUUAGAAUAAAUUCAACAUUUUCAAGUUUUUGUUUAAUAAAAUUUUCU